rnacentral:sRNA from 1 species
GCUGGGUGAGGUGGCGCUCACCUGUAAUCCCAGCAGCUUGGGAGCCUGAGGCAGGAGGAUCAUGAGUUCAAAGCCAGCUUCAGCAAGACCAAGGAGCUAAGCAACUUAGCAAGACCUUGUCUCUA